AUACUUUUGUGUUUCAGGAGCAUAAUUAUUGGUUUUUACAUAUUCAUUUGAUAUGUAACUCCUUCAAACUACAUUAUAAUUUUGGCAUAUUACCCAUCUGAAA